GACGAACCGUCCGAACGUUAUUCGGAAUCACUGGGCUUAAAGGGUGCGUAGGCGGCGCAGAAAGUAGGGUGUGAAAUCCCUCGGCUUAACCGAGGAACUGCGCCCUAAACUACUGUGCUUGAGUGAGAUAGAGGUGAGCGGAACUUAGGGUGGAGCGGUGAAAUGCGUUGAUAUCCUAAGGAACACCGGUGGCGAAAGCGGCUCACUGGAUCUCUUCUGACGCUGAGGCACGAAAGCUAGGGUAGCAAACGGG
rnacentral:rRNA from 1 species